rnacentral:rRNA from 1 species
AGAGUUUGAUUCUGGCUCAGAACGAACGCUGGCGGCGUGGAUAAGACAUGCAAGUUGAGCGANGANCUGANGAUAGCAAUAUNUGACGGNANUAGCAGCGAACGGGUGAGUAACACGUAGGAAUCUGCCCCAAAGUUCGGAAUAGCCCGGUGAAAGCCGGGGUAAUACCGGAUGUGAUCUUCGGAUUAAAGGCUUCGGUCGCUUUGGGAUGAGCCUGCGUUCCAUCAGCUUGUUGGUAGGGUAAAAGCCUACCAAGGCGAAGACGGAUAGCUGGUCUGAGAGGACGGUCAGCCACAAUGGAACUGAGACACGGUCCAUACACCUACGGGUGGCAGCAGUCGAGAAUCAUUCNCAAUGGACGAAAGUCUGACGGUGCGACGCCGCGUGGGGGAUGAAGGCCUUAGGGUCGUAAACCCCUGUCGGGUGCGAGUAAGGGUAUACAUUACGGCAUACUUAGAUAUUAGCACCAAAGGAAGGGACGGCUAACUCCGUGCCAGCAGCCGCGGUAAUACGGAGGUCCCAAGCGUUGUUCGGAUUCACUGGGCGUAAAGCGUGCGUAGGCGGAGAAAUAAGUUUGGCGUGAAAGCCCCGGGCCCAACCCGGAAAUUGCGUUGAAAACUAUUUCCCUAGAGGAUUGGAGGGGAGACUGGAAUUCCUGGUGUAGCAGUGAAAUGCGUAGAUAUCAGGAGGAACACCGGUGGCGAAGGCGAGUCUCUGGACNAUUCCUGACNCUGAGGNACGAANGCUAGGGNAGCNAANAGGAUUAGAUACCCUNGUAGUCCUAGCNGUAAACGGUGNNCACUUGCUGUAGGCGGAUUCGACCCCGNCUGUGGCGNAGCNAACGCGUUAAGUGNNCCGCCUGGGGAGUACGGUCGCAAGAUUAAAACUCAAAGAAAUUGACGGGGGCCUGCACAAGCGGUGGAGCAUGUGGCUUAAUUCGAUGCAACGCGAAGAACCUUACCUGGGCUUGACAUGUUAGUCGUAGUCUCCUGAAAGGGAGACGUCAGUUCGGCUGGACUAUCACAGGUGCUGCAUGGCUGUCGUCAGCUCGUGUCGUGAGAUGUUGGGUUAAGUCCCGCAACGAGCGCAACCCCUAUGUCCUGUUGCCACGGAGAACUCGUUUCUCCAGCACUCUGGACAGACUGCCCCAUUUCAAUGGGGAGGAAGGUGGGGAUGACGUCAAGUCAGUAUGGCCCUUACGCCCAGGGCUGCACACGUGCUACAAUGCCCGGUACAAUGGGAAGCGAAAUCGCGAGAUGAAGCAAAUCCCCAAAGCCGGGCCCAGUUCGGAUUGGAGUCUGCAACUCGACUCCAUGAAGUCGGAAUCGCUAGUAACGGCGUAUCAGCUACGACGCCGUGAAUACGUUCCCAGGCCUUGUACACACCGCCCGUCACAUCAUGAAAGCCGGGGGCACCCGAAGCCUGCGAUUACGUGGUCGAAGGUGAACUUGGUGAUUGGGAUGAAGUCGUAACAAGGUAGCCGUAGGGGAACCUGCGGCUG